GACGAACGCUGGCGGCGUGCUUAACACAUGCAAGUCACGGGGGCGGGUUUCGGCCCGCAACCGGCGAACGGGUGCGUAACACGUGAGCGACCUGCCUUUCCGCGGGGGAUAGCCGGCCCAACGGCCGGGUAAUACCGCAUACGCUUGGGCGCCGGCAUCGGCGGCCAAGGAAACCUCCGGGGCGGGAAGAGGGGCUCGCGGCCUAUCAGCUAGUUGGUGUGGUGACGGCGCACCAAGGCGACGACGGGUAGCNGGUCUGAGAGGAUGGCCAGCCACAUUGGGACUGAGAGACGGCCCAGACUCCUACGGGAGGCAGCAGUGGGGAAUCUUGCGCAAUGGCCUAACGGCUGACGCAGCGACGCCGCGUGUGGGAGGACGCCCCUCGGGU
rnacentral:rRNA from 1 species